GGCAGCCAUGCUCUGGGCACUCUAAAACUGCCCUGGAAAUGGACAGUGCACAGCUGGGACCUCCAGCUCUGUCCUCUGAUCUUCAUAGAGUCACAGAAUAACCUGUGGUGGAAGGAACCCAUCGGGAUCAUCGAGUCCAACUCCUGGCACAGGACACUCCAGGAAUGCCAUCAUGUGAGAGCGCUGGAGCUCGGGCAGCUUUG
rnacentral:lncRNA from 12 species